AUGAGGGGCGAGGCGAGGAUGCUGUGCGCGCUGGGCCUGCUGGUGCUCUGCGUGGCGGCGGACCUCCAGGGCGCGCACUGCCGCGGCGGCGGCGGCGGCGGCGGGGGCCACGGCGGAGGUGGAGGUGGAGGCCACGGUGGGGGCGGGGGCGGAGGUCGCGGAGGCGGAGGCUCAGGGAGAGGGCGCUCCGGCGGGAGGGCCCGUCCGAUCAUCGCCGGCGCGGGAGCGGGCGCCCUCGCUGGGGCUGGAGCGGGCGCGCUCGCCGGCAGGGCCGCGUCGGGGUCGCACGGCCGCAGCGCCGCGGGCGAGCCGCGCGUCGCCUGGAGGGCCUCCGGCGCCGCCGCCGCGCUCGCGGCCGCCGCGCUCGUCCGGUGGCUCUGA
rnacentral:rRNA from 1 species